rnacentral:lncRNA from 1 species
GGCGAAUCCUCGGGGUUGGCGCAGGAGUUCAUGGCUUCCAUGGCAACCAUGGACCUGACCCAGGUAGUUCAGGGCCCGACUCACNAGAAGGGACACACACCCGACAUGGUAUUCCUCUCGGGACAGUUGAGUAAUGAGCUGAUUUUAAGGGGCUUAGAUAUUGUGCCCUUGUCAUGGUCAGAUCAUUCUCUGCUACGGCUUGACUUCGGGGUGCCAAUCCUUCACCGUAGGGAGGCGGAACCGAUUAGGUGGUUCCGCCCCAGACGCCUAAUGGACCCGAUGGGCUUUCAAAGGGCGCUUGGGGAAGUACCGGACUCGCUUAUACACAAUUCGGCGGAGUCCCUGGCAAUGGCCUGGAAUAUGGCCGCGAAGGGGGCUCUUGAUCGGAUUGCGCCUAUGCGACCUCUCUGUGGUUGUAGACCCAGAAGGUCUCCUUGGUUCACCGAGGAACUCAGGGGGAUGAAACGCCAGAAGAGACGUCUAGAGAGCCGUUGGAGGGCCAGUAAAUCCGAGUCUGACCGAACACAACUAAGUUCUUAUAUUAAGACUUAUCUUGUGGCGAUCAAGGUGGCAAGAUCAGCGUAUCUUUCCACAGUGAUUGCGUCUGCGGAAUCUCGCCCAGCCGCCCUGUUUAGGGUGACUCGCUCCCUCCUUGGUGUGGGGGGGGGGGAGGAAGAACCCGUGCAGGUUAGUGCUGAGGAUUUUAAUAAAUUUUUCUCAGAUAAAGUCGCUCAGAUUCGGGCAGACCUGGACUCUGACUGGGAAGCAGUGUUGACUGAAAAUGAUUCAAUUGAGGUGACUGGGUCACGUCUUUGUCCAGUUAUAUGGGAAGAGUUUGAACCGGUGAUGCCUGAUGAAGUGGACAAGGCCAUGGGAGCUGUGAGCUCCGCCACCUGUUUAUUGGAUCCAUGUCCCUCCUGGCUGGUUUCAACCAGCAGGGAAGUGACACGGGGCUGGNUCCAGGCGAUUGUAAAUGCUUCUUUGAGGGAGGGGUCAUUUCCAGCUCCCUACAAGGAGGCGAUUGUGCGCCCCCUCCUCAAGAAGCCUUCCCUGGACCCAACUGUUUUAAACAACUAUCGUCCUGUCUCCAACCUCCCCUUUAUANGGAAAGUUGUCGAGAAGGUGGUGGCNUUCCAGCUCCAGCGGUCCUUGGAUGAAGCCGAUUACCUAGGCCCGUGGCAGUCUGGUUUCAGGCCCGGCUACAGCACUGAGACUGCCUUGGUNGCACUGAUAGAUGAUCUCUGGCGGGCUCGGGAUAGGGGUUAUUCCUCUAUCCUGGUGCUUCUUGAC